AUUCAAAUCCUUUAACGAGGAUCUAGCGGAGGGCAAGUCUGGUGCCAGCAGCCGCGGUAAUUCCAGCUCCGCAGGUGUAUAUCUAUGCUGCUGCGGUUAAAAAGCUCGUAGUUGGAUCUGCGUGCUCGGAACUGGUUGGCUCACUGAGUUCAAACUGGUCUCCGGCGCUUUAUUGGCUGGUUUUCCCUUGAUGCUCUUAACCGGGUGUCUUGGGUGGCUAGCACGUUUACUUUGAAAAAAUUAGAGUGCUCAAUACAGGCGUAAAGCCUUGAAUAGUGGUGCAUGGAAUAAUAGAAUAGGACCUCGGCUCUAUUUUGUUGGUUUUCGGAACGCGAGGUAAUGAUUAAGAGGGACAGACGGGGGCAUUCGUAUUGCGACGUUAGAGGUGAAAUUCUUGGAUCGUCGCAAGACGGACGACUGCGAAAGCAUUUGCCAAGAAUGUUUUCAUUAAUCAAGAACGAAAGUUAGAGGUUCGAAGGCGAUCAGAUACCGCCCUAGUUCUAACCGUAAACGAUGCCAACUAGCGAUUCGCAGGCGUUAAACAACGACCUUGCGGGCAGCUUCCCGGAAACGAAAGUGUUCGGGUUCCGGGGGAAGUAUGGUUGCAAAGCUGAAACUUAAAGGAAUUGACGGAAGGGCACCACCAGGAGUGGAGCCUGCGGCUUAAUUUGACCCAACACGGGAAAACUCACCCGGCCCGGACACCGUAAGGAUUGACAGAUUGAGAGCUCUUUCUUGAUUCGGUGGGUGGUGGUGCAUGGCCGUUCUUAGUUGGUGGAGCGAUUUGUCUGGUUUAUUCCGAUAACGAACGAGACUCUGGCCUACUAAAUAGUGGGCGGAUUCUUUCUGUCCGCAACACUUCUUAGAGGGACAAGCGGUGUUCAGCCGCACGAGAUUGAGCAAUAACAGGUCUGUGAUGCCCUUAGAUGUCCGGGGCUGCACGCGCGCUACACUGAAGGAAUCAGCGUGCUUUUUGACCUUGCCCGAAAGGGCUGGGUAACCCGAUGAAAAUCCUUCGUGAUUGGGAUAGGGACUUGCAAUUAUUUCCCUUGAACGAGGAAUUCCCAGUAAGUGGGGGUCAUAAGCUCGCGUUGAUUACGUCCCUGCCCUUUGUACACACCGCCCGUCGCUGCCCGGAACUGAGCCGUUUCGAGAAGAACAGGGACCGUCGUUGAAGGGCCUUAACGGGCUUUUCUCUGAUAGAAACUGUU
rnacentral:rRNA from 1 species